AUUGAACGCUGGCGGUAUGCUUAACACAUGCAAGUCGAACGGUAACAGCAGAGCUUGCUCUGGCUGACGAGUGGCGGACGGGUGAGUAACACUUAGGAAUCUAUCCAGUAGCUGGGGAUAACUCGGAGAAAUCCGAGCUAAUACCGGAUACGCACUACGGUGGAAAGAGGGGGCUCUUCGGACCUCUCACUAUCGGGUGAGCCUAAGCCGGAUUAGCUAGUUGGUGGGGUAAAGGCCUACCAAGGCGACGAUCCGUAGCUGGUCUGAGAGGACGAUCAGCCACACUGGGACUGAGACACGGCCCAG
rnacentral:rRNA from 1 species